rnacentral:rRNA from 1 species
AUUGAACGCUGGCGGCGGGCCUAACACAUGCAAGUCGAGCGGAGCGGCGGACGGGUGAGUAAUGCCUAGGAAUCUACCUGGUAGUGGGGGAUAACGUCCGGAAACGGGCGCUAAUAUCGCAUACUAUCAGAUGAGCCUAGGUCGGAUUAGCGAGUUGGUGUGGUAAAGGCCUACAAAGGCGACGAUCCGUAACUGGUCUGAGAGGAUGAUCAGUCACACUGGAACUGAGACACGGUCCAGACUCCUACGGGAGGCAGCAGUGGGGAAUAUUGGGCAAUGGGCGAAAGCCUGAUCCAGCAAUGCCGCGUGUGUGAAGAAGGUCUUCGGAUUGUAAAGCACUUUAAGUUGGGAAGCGUUACCAACAGAAAAAGCACCGGCUAACUACGUGCCAGCAGCCGCGGUAAUUC